ACAGGAACUCAGGACAAGCUGGACACGCUCUGUGGCCUGUGGUGAGCCACAAGGCCGUUCUGGCUUCGGGGGUGAGACGGCAGUUCUCCUAAGCAUGCUCCUCUGGGGGCUUCGAGCUUCUACUGCUGGACCUCGGCUCCCUUCUUUUAUGACCAAGUCUAGGUGAUACUGGGCUCACUGGGCCAGGAACAGUUCAGGUUUCCUCUGAUGCUCAAGUCUAUUACGCUCCCCUCUGCCCCCAGCAUGACCUCCUCCAAGGCAUUCCUGGAUUCCUCUCAUGGCCUCAUGAUCAGGCUGGCCUUGAACGCACAGAGACCCAUCUGCCUCUGCCUCCUGAGUGCUAAGAUUGAAGGCAUCCACCACUACUCCUCCGACUUCUAGUGAUGUUAAACCAGUGUUUUGCAAGCUUUUAUUCUCAGGGAGCCAGAAGAGAGUCUGGUUUCACUGGUCUCUGGUUGAAGUCCCGACUGCUGUCUGCAGGAGAAUGUUUCUCAACCUACCAGGCAAAAGAACUAAGUUUAGAUGACAGAAGAUAGUCCACGCAAAGGUGUAAA